AGUGAACGCUGGCGGUAGGCCUAACACAUGCAAGUCGAACGGCAGCACAGUAAGAGCUUGCUCUUACGGGUGGCGAGUGGCGGACGGGUGAGGAAUACAUCGGAAUCUACUUUUUCGUGGGGGAUAACGUAGGGAAACUUACGCUAAUACCGCAUACGACCUACGGGUGAAAGCAGGGGAUCUUCGGACCUUGCGCGAUUGAAUGAGCCGAUGUCGGAUUAGCUAGUUGGCGGGGUAAAGGCCCACCAAGGCGACGAUCCGUAGCUGGUCUGAGAGGAUGAGCAGCCACACUGGAACUGAGACACGGUCCAGACUCCUACGGGAGGCAGCAGUGGGGAAUAUUGGACAAUGGGCGCAAGCCUAAUCCAGCCAUACCGCGUGGGUGAAGAAGGCCUUCGGGUUGGAAAGCCCUUUUGUGGGGAAAGAAAAGCAGCAGGUUAAUACCCCGCUGUUCUGACGGUACCCAAAGAAUAAGCACCGGCUAACUUCG
rnacentral:rRNA from 1 species